AGACCCGAAACCCGGUGAUCUAGCCAUGGGCAGGUUGAAGGUUGGGUAACACUAACUGGAGGACCGAACCGACUAAUGUUGAAAAAUUAGCGGAUGACCUGUGGCUGGGGGUGAAAGGCCAAUCAAACCGGGAGAUAGCUGGUUCUCCCCGAAAGCUAUUUAGGUAGCGCCUCGUGAAUUCAUCUCCGGGGGUAGAGCACUGUUUCGGCUAGGGGGCCAUCCCGGCUUACCAACCCGAUGCAAACUGCGAAUACCGGAGAAUGUUAUCACGGGAGACACACGGCGGGUGCUAACGUCCGUCGUGAAGAGGGAAACAACCCAGACCGCCAGCUAAGGUCCCAAAGUCAUGGUUAAGUGGGAAACGAUGUGGGAAGGCCCAGACAGCCAGGAUGUUGGCUUAGAAGCAGCCAUCAUUUAAAGAAAGCGUAAUAGCUCACUGGUCGAGUCGGCCUGCGCGGAAGAUGUAACGGGGCUAAACCAUGCACCGAAGCUGCGGCAGCGAACGUAUCACCCAAGACAACUUUACGGAGUUGACGAUUGACGGAGCGAAGCGACGUCAAAGCGUUCAUUAAAGUCGAGUUGGCUUAGGGAUACGUUCGUUGGGUAGGGGAGCGUUCUGUAAGCCUGUGAAGGUGGCCUGUGAGGGUUGCUGGAGGUAUCAGAAGUGCGAAUGCUGACAUAAGUAACGAUAAAGCGGGUGAAAAGCCCGCUCGCCGGAAGACCAAGGGUUCCUGUCCAACGUUAAUCGGGGCAGGGUGAGUCGACCCCUAAGGCGAGGCCGAAAGGCGUAGUCGAUGGGAAACGGGUUAAUAUUCCCGUACUUGGUGUUACUGCGAAGGGGGGACGGAGAAGGCUAUGUUGGCCGGGCGACGGUUGUCCCGGUUUAAGCGUGUAGGUGUGUGUUCCAGGUAAAUCCGGUUCACUUUAACACUGAGGCGUGAUGACGAGGCACUACGGUGCUGAAGCAACAAAUGCCCUGCUUCCAGGAAAAGCCUCUAAGCAUCAGGUAACAU
rnacentral:rRNA from 1 species